AGUUACUUCUUUGCUAGGUUGAGGAAAGGGUGGAAGCGCCUCCUGCAGCCACGAAUAUCCUCCAGUGCCUGAGAGAAAACGGCCUAAUCGAAAACGUCCGCGGCAUACAUCCAUUCUUAAAACUUGAGUGGCUGCUUUUCUGGGUGGAAAAGAGCGGUAUCAGACAGGGUGAGCAGUCGGGGAACGGAUGAACAAAGACUUGCACCGUGGCCCUGAUGCCUUUGUUCCGAGUUCUAUUCAGUUGUACUUGUGCGUUGUUACAGGACUUUAGAAUGCAGCCCUGCCCCCCAACCCCCACCUCCCAGGGCCGACCUGUGCUCCUAGGAAGGCAAACCUCCCAGGAAUAUAUUCUGCAUAACUAUACAAAUAGGCCUUUAUUCAAGGCUUUUGGAUUAUGACAAAGAUUACCCUCAGGAGUAGUAAGAUUCUACUAGCAGGAUAAUAGAAAGGAUUAAGGCUCCCCUCCAAAGAAAAUUUUUUUAAGUUAGAAACGGAGGCGAGCCGCAGUGGGUCAUGCCUGUAAUUUCAAUGCUUUGGAAGGCCGAGGUGGGAGGAUAGGAUAGCUUGAGGCUAGGAGUUCGAGACCAGCCUGGGCAACAUGGGGAGACCCCCCCCCAUCCCUCCAAAAAAGAAAAGAAAACUGGAAAGCCUUAAAGAAACCUUUCAAACUUUAGUGUGUAUCAGAAUUACCUGAAAGGUUUGUUAAAACAGAUUGCUGGGCCAUACCCCCAGAAUUCUCUGACUGGGCUAUCGGAAAUAAUGCCUGAGAAUGUGCAUAUCUAAUAAGUUCCUAGUUCCACUUUAGGACCCUAGAAGGUUAGUAUCUUUCCUCUCUACCAGGCUUAUCUUAGGAUGAACCGUUCGGGGUUUGCUGAUGUGAAGCUAAAACAAAAAUAUUCUUUAAAAGGAGGGAUGUCUUAUUCAGUCCAUAAGAUCAUCUAAUGUAUUAAGCUGGCUUGGGGGAUGAAUCGGGUGUUUCAUUCAUUCAUUUGACAGGUAAGCAUUGCUUACCUACUCUAUUAUGACGGGGUCUGUGCUGACUCCGAAUAUUCGGUGGGAUGCAAAAUAGUUAAGUGCUCUUGUAGAGUUUACAGAUUAGCGGAAAACAGACAAAUUGUGUUAAGAGCAAUAGAAAGAAGAGAGCGGAGGACUCUGAGAAAUGAAGGCGAGGAGUGGGAGAAUGAGAGGAAGGUGGAAGGCAGUAACAAUGCCUGGAUUUUAUUCAGAUGCUGUGUACCCAGCCAAAAGACUACAUUUCUCAAUCUCCAUUGUAGCUGGAUGUGGCUGUGUGAUCAAGUUAUGACCAAUGAGAUAUAAGUAGAAGUAGCUUGGCCAGACACAGUGGCUCACACCUGUAAUCCCAGCCCUUUGGGAGGCCAAAGCAGGAGGAUCACUUGCACUC
rnacentral:lncRNA from 1 species